rnacentral:rRNA from 1 species
GACGAACGCUGGCGGCGUGCUUAACACAUGCAAGUCGAACGGAAAGGCCCUGCUUUUGUGGGGUGCUCGAGUGGCGAACGGGUGAGUAACACGUGAGUAACCUGCCCUUGACUUUGGGAUAACUUCAGGAAACUGGGGCUAAUACCGGAUAGGAGCUCCUGCUGCAUGGUGGGGGUUGGAAAGUUUCGGCGGUUGAGGAUGGACUCGCGGCUUAUCAGCUUGUUGGUGGGGUAGUGGCUUACCAAGGCUUUGACGGGUAGCCGGCCUGAGAGGGUGACCGGCCACAUUGGGGCUGAGAUACGGCCCAGACUCCUACGGGAGGCAGCAGUGGGGAAUAUUGCACAAUGGGCGGAAGCCUGAUGCAGCAACGCCGCGUGCGGGAUGACGGCCUUCGGGUUGUAAACCGCUUUCGCCUGUGACGAAGCGUGAGUGACGGUAAUGGGUAAAGAAGCACCGGCUAACUACGUG